GCGCCAGUGCUGCAGACUGCGGCGCGGCUGCGGGCGCGGGCGCGGGUGUGGCCCUGGCGAAACCGACCUGGACGUGGGGAACGAGCCUGCUUUAAUGUUGCCGAACCCUAAGGCUCGAGAGGUGCACCCAGUUUUGAAGUUGAAGCACCCUAAAAUGCAAAAACUGCUGGGCCGAGGAGCUCUGCUGAUUAUUUUCCUGUUGCUAUAGUUCCUUAAUGAGUUUGUUCUGUUUCUUUUCUUGCUUCCUUUGAAAAGGUAUUUUGCAUCUACUUGAUAACGUGGAGGAUGUGAGCUUCAAAAAUCCGAAUGCGGUUUUGCUGUGCAGUUCAGGCUGACCUUGAGCUCACUUUGUAGCCAAGACUGGUUUUGAACUUGCAACAAUCCACCUGCCUCAGCCUCCCAAGUCCUGUGAUUACAGGCAUGUACUAUUAUGCCUGGCUUGUAUUUGUUGUUUUUUAUGCUUUACAUUGUAUAUUUGUGUUGAAGGUAUGUAAAAGUCACUUAGUUGGACUUAUGAACUAUUAUCAAUUGGUGUUUACUAGAGAGACAAGUGUAACACAUGAUAUAUAAAUAGAUAAAAAUUUCUAAGGAUGGUUUACAGUGGCCACCCACAGAGUCAGAUGAGAAGAAUGUAGAGGGUCUGGCUGCUGCACACUGGAGAUUAAAGGUUUAGGCAGAGGUCUGGAGCUCACUGCAGAGUCCCCUAUGAGUCUCUAUCAGGAGGCUGAUGGGUCUGUUCUGGAAACAAGAGAUGACAUCCAUGGUGAAGGCAAAGGCCUAGAGCUCCGCCAAAGAAACAAGGAGAUGUGUCAUUCUUCAUUUCUCUUAUAAUAUCUAGGCAACAAACCACCCUAGGGUGGAUCUCUCAACCCUAGGGCAUGAAAUUGAGGAUUUAGUUAAGCUUCUUUUAACUAAACUUAAACUGACACAAUCAAUCAACUACCCCACAAAAGAGUGUAAUUUGGAACUCAUUCAUAAGUUAGGGACUUACUAUAUUGACUUGAAGUCAUCUUUUUGUCAUACACUUAAUAUAAUUAGUGAAUUUUGUUAGUUUUUUCCCCCAAGUUUUCUAAGACAAAAUCUUGCUGUGUAGCCCAGGCUGGCCUCAAACUCAUGAUGAUCUGCUUGCCUCAUACUGCCUAAUACUGGGAUUACAGGCACGCACCACCAGGCCUGGCCAACCUGGCUAGUUUUUGUUACAAUGUCUUGCUAAACUGCCCAAGCUGAGCUGAAAGAGUGCUGGGGGAUUAUACGUAUGUACCAUCAUGCUUACUUGUUAGUUAUAGCUUCAAACUAUACCUUCCUCUGCCAGGGAUAUAGCUCAGUGGCACAGGCACUUGUCUGGCAAGCAUGAGGUCUUGAGUUCAAUCCCAGGUACUAAAAUGCCACAACCCAAGCAGCUCCUGAGGCUCUUGGGGUGAAGAACCUCGAAAGGAUGAGAAAACUAAGAAGAGACAAAGCUGGGGUCAGGUGGAGUCCUUAUCCUCCCCUGAUGUAAGGAAAGGUACUGGCUCCUCACUACAGGGGCUUUUAUUUAAACCUGUUAGCAACUUAAUGUCACAUGACACCCUGUUGUCCUAGCAACCCACUGUUCAGAUUGUUUUGGGGCCCGGGCUUCUCUGGGCUGAAGCAGCUUCUUCACGUGGUUUGCCCCAGGUGCUCUUUGUUAUUGAAAUGAUCAUGCUCCAGCCUUGCAUAUGUGGUCAAUUUCCAGCUUCAAGGGCUCCCAACAUAUCUCUUUCUUUUGUUUUGUUGUUGUACAGGAUGGGUAAUCUGUUGAAACUGGAAGAGCUAUUAGGAGAAUUCUCACAAUUUAAACAUUUUAUUUUAUUUUUAUUUAUUUAUUUUUGGUACCGAGGAUUGAACUCAUUGCCUAGGGCUUGCCAGGCAGGCAUUUAUGCCAUGAGCUAAAUCCCCAGCCCCAAUUUAAACAUUUUAUAAUCUGUUAAUCCUUAACAGUAGACAUUUACUAGUGUAGCCAACAACUGUCAGAAGGUAUUAGUGAUUUGAGCUUCUUUUAUAGCCAACAUAUUACUUCAGCAUUGUUUUAUAUACCUCUAGAAGUUGUACAUUUUCUAUAGGAUGUUCAAGAUGAGGUUAAGGUGAGACCCAUUUUAAAAACAAUUUUUGUUAUCAGUUAAGUCUCCUCUGGAAUACCUUGGAACCAGCUAUAGCACCUCUGAGUUCUUUUGUCAGUGACAGCUGUGGGGAUGAGUCAUGGCAUUGCUUGAUCAAGUUGCUUUCUGUGAAAGCUAGGGAGAUUUUUUUUUCCCUGAUGAAUCUCCUUAGGCACACCACAACUGAUGAUCACUUUCCUCAGUGGUCUCACAGUCUUCUUGAUCAGAAGACCAGGGACUCACUGAGUAUAGGAUGACACAGCAGAGGAUCUCUUAUGUCCUGGGUCCUCAUUGACCUUGGAGGACUAGCACCAAAAUAUUGGCUAUCCUCUUAGCCCAUCUGUCUUUCUAAUUGUUGGUCUCUAUAUCUCAGUUGAACAUCCAGAAGAAAAGACUGAUGACAGUACAAUGUAGUAGAGGCAGUAAACAUAACAUGAUCAUCUUACUUAAAUGUCAAACAUCUUAGAACAUAAAAUAGAACUAUUAUUAUUAUUAUUGUUUUUUUUUUUUUUUUUUUUUUUUUUUUGGUGCUGGGGAUUACAAUUGCCAAGCAGGCACUUAACGCCACUGAGCUAAACACCUGGCCCCGAACUAUUAUUUUUUAACAACCAUGGAUGCUUUAAAAUUUUGAAAAACUAUAGGAUGUUAACAAACAGUUACAUAUUUUGGGCUGAGGAUUAGCUCAGUGGCAUAAGUGUCUGCCUGGAAAGGUCAAGGUUGUCAGUUUGAGCCCCGGUACCACAAAAAGAAAGAAAGAAAGAAAGAAAGAAAGAAAGAAAGAAAGAAAGAAAGAAAGAAAGAAAGAAAAACAGUUACAUAUUUUACACAGAAAAUUAGAAAUCAAGAAAUCAAAAUAAUACCUGAUGUUAUAACAAGACAAUCGUGAUGACUUUGAUGACUUUUUUUUUUUCUUUUUGGUGCUGGGGAUUUAACUCACGACUUUGAGUUUGCAAGCAGGCACUUUCACCGCUGAGCUAAACCUUAGGCCCAUGAUGGCAUUUUAAAAAUACAUUUGAAUUUGCAUUUUUAAACAUAAGAUACCUCCUUUUUGAUUAAUCCUCCUUAUUUAAUACAUAAAAGCUUUUAUCUAACUUGUUGAUGUUUAGUGGGAUGUAGAUUUCUUAAGCAUUUGUUGAAGGCAGAGGUCUGAAUCUGAACCAAAAUUUUGUCACCAUAAAUAAUCACUGUUAAAAAAAAAUUCACUGUUUUACAUUUUUUGAAGCCUGUAUAUCUCAAAGGAUGAAUGUAUGAAUACAUCAUGCAGUUAACAAUCAUUUAUCAUAACUAUAUGAAAACCUUUGUAUGGGCAUUUUUAAAAUCAAAAUCUUAUUGUAUUACUUCUCUUGAUGAUUACCAAUGUGAACAUAUUACAAUAAUAUUUUAUAUAACUUUAGUUGGGGUAUCUCCCAUAAGGCUAUAGAGAUCAUUGGGGCCUCCAAUCAAUGAACAAUAAUGGAUUAAAAAUGUUACCAGGCAGCUGCUUUCUUAUGCAUCAGUUGGAAUCCUCUCCAACAGUCCCAACCACAAGGGAUUUUUGUUUAAUUAUCUUAAUAUAAUUUUUGAUGACUUAUGAAAAAUCUAAUUAUAACAUUUAACCCAUUAAUUUUAAAACAAUGAGAGACUCUCAAGUCAAUAAUAAAAUACAUAGGGGCUGGGGAGUUAGCUCAGCGGCAUAAGCACCUGCCUUGCAAGCAGGCAGUCAUGAGUUUGAUCCCCAGUACCGAUAAAAAUGAAAAAGACAAAAAAAAAAAAAAGGCAAAAAAAAAGAGAAAAGUAAAUACUGGAAUCAAGCAUACAACAAAAACUUCCGUAUACAUUUCUGAUUCAUCUUUUCUUUCUUUCUUUUUUUUUUUUCCCCUGGGGAAGGGGGGUUUCUCUCAGGCCAGUUUAUAACUGGCCCUAAAGAAUAAGAGAGUUUCAAUGCCCCACUCUUUACACCUGAUGAAGCCUGAUAGGAUUAUUUCCAAAAGAUGAAAAAUAUUUCCAAAAGAUGAGAACUAUAAAACAAAAAGAGGCCUUUAUUCUGAGAACAUGGAAAGAGAUGACCGGCACCCCCCACUGCUGGAGUCCAGCGAUCUCUCCCCCUGACACGUGGCAUGGGGGGUAUAUAAGUAGCCUCGGUUUGGGGUGGAACCUAAGGGGGCAUCAGGGAUGCACGGGUAGCCCAUUGGUCUUAGGUUUGGCACCAUAGGCAAAUUCCCAGGGGUGGGGAAGACGGCAUCACAGGUAAAUUCCUAGGGGCAGGGGAGAUAGGAGCUUCCUGGUUACGGUUGAGGUUUUCCUGGCUACAGAGUCCUGUCUGGGCCAAAACCCUUUCAGCCAAUAUCAAUACUCCAGUGAUGACUAUUGAACUAUACCAAUGUACUUCUUCCUUUAAGUUGCACACACAUGAGAAGUGUUCUCUCAUCCUCAAGCUCUUACCCUUCCCUUUUCAGGCAUCAUAUGCCAUGACCCAAGCGGCUCCUGAAGUUCUUGGGGUAAAGGACUGCAAAGGAUGAGGAAAAUAAGAUGAGACGAAACUGGAGUCAGGUGGAAUCCUUAUCCUCCGGUUGGGAGGAAAGGUACUGGCUCCUCACUGCAGGGGCGUUUAUUUAAUAAUGUCACGUGACACCCUCUUGCCCUAGCAACCCACUGUUCAGAUUGUUUUGGAGCCAGGAGUUCUCUGGGCUGAAGCAGCUUCUUCAGUGGUUUGCCCCAGGUGCUCUUUGUUCUUGGAAUGAUCAUUCUCCAGCCUUGUACUUGUGGGCAGUUUCCAGCUUCAACAGCUCCCAACAUUAAAAAGAAAAUACAUUUUUAAAAAAGAAAGGAACAAAGCAUACCUUCCCCUUUGAUAGAACUGUGGGGGACUGGUGGCGGCUGAAAAGAUAAAUAUGAAAUAUAAAUGACCUUUAUUUUGAGAAUGUGGGGAGAGACACCCCCGAUCCCCUGGGGCACAGCAUCUCCCCCCUGGGUUGGAGAUCUCUCCGUGGAACACAUGGAGUGGAGGCAUAUAAAUAGCCUAGAAUGGGGGUGGUACCUGAGGGGCAUUAGGGAUGCACAAGUAGCCCAUUGGUAUUCUUUUGGCACCAGAGGUAAAUUCCUAGGGGUGGGGAAGAUAGGAGCUCCUUGGUUUUGCCUCUAAGGCUUCACCAGCUACAGGGUCCUGCCUGGGCCAAAACUCUUUCACCCUUUCUGUCAGUCACUCUGUUAUUUCAUAGUUAUUGUGGAAUCACAAAAUACCUUGUUUAUAUAUUUAUGUACUUAUUUCAAGUUUCACUUUUUAUGUAAGCACGACAUUAAAAAGUCAAUCUUA